UACGAAGGGUGUAAGCAUUGUUCGGAUUUAUUGGGCGUAAAGCGCGCGCAGAUAGGUUUUUAAGUCAGAUGUGAAAUCUCAAAACUCAACCCCAAACGUGCGUCUGAAACUGGGAAUCUAGAAUAUUACAGAAAAUAGAAGAAUUUCACAUAUAGGGGUAAAAUCCAUAGAGAUGUGAAGAAACACCAAAAGCGAAGGCAUCUACCUGGGUAAACAUUGACACUGAAGCGCGAAAGCGUGGGGAUCAAACAGG
rnacentral:rRNA from 1 species